UACAGAGGGUGCAAGCGUUAUUCGGAAUUACUGGGCGUAAAGCGCACGUAGGCGGUCGUUCAAGUCGCGUGUGAAAGCCCCCGGCUCAACUGGGGAGGGUCACGCGAUACUGAUCGACUCGAAGGCAGGAGAGGGUAGUGGAAUUCCCGGUGUAGUGGUGAAAUGCGUAGAUAUCGGGAGGAACACCAGUGGCGAAGGCGGCUACCUGGCCUGUUCUUGACGCUGAGGCGCGAAAGCGAGGGGAGCAAACGGG
rnacentral:rRNA from 1 species